rnacentral:rRNA from 1 species
AUUGAACGCUGGCGGCAGGCCUAACACAUGCAAGUCGAGCGGAUGAAGGGAGCUUGCUCCUGGAUUCAGCGGCGGACGGGUGAGUAAUGCCUAGGAAUCUGCCUGGUAGUGGGGGAUAACGUCCGGAGACGGGCGCUAAUACCGCAUACGUCCUGAGGGAGAAAGUGGGGGAUCUUCGGACCUCACGCUAUCAGAUGAGCCUAGGUCGGAUUAGCUAGUUGGUGGGGUAAAGGCCUACCAAGGCGACGAUCCGUAACUGGUCUGAGAGGAUGAUCAGUCACACUGGAACUGAGACACGGUCCAGACUCCUACGGGAGGCAGCAGUGGGGAAUAUUGGACAAUGGGCGAAAGCCUGAUCCAGCCAUGCCGCGUGUGUGAAGAAGGUCUUCGGAUUGUAAAGCACUUUAAGUUGGGAGGAAGGGCAGUAAGUUAAUACCUUGCUGUUUUGACGUUACCAACAGAAUAGGCACCGGCUAACUUCGUG